GGACUUAAAGACUGUUCAAAGGGCUUGAGCUUUCAUUCUAAGUGAAAAGGGAAGCUAUGCCAGUCCUGGUGUCUGAGUGAUU
rnacentral:snoRNA from 1 species